AUUGAACGCUGGCGGCAUGCUUUACACAUGCAAGUCGAACGGUAACAGGCCGCAAGGUGCUGACGAGUGGCGAACGGGUGAGUAAUGCAUCGGAACGUGCCCAGUCGUGGGGGAUAACGCAGCGAAAGCUGCGCUAAUACCGCAUACGAUCUAUGGAUGAAAGCGGGGGACCGUAAGGCCUCGCGCGAUUGGAGCGGCCGAUGUCAGAUUAGGUAGUUGGUGGGGUAAAGGCUCACCAAGCCAACGAUCUGUAGCUGGUCUGAGAGGACGACCAGCCACACUGGGACUGAGACACGGCCCAGACUCCUACGGGUGGCAGCAGUGGGAAAUUUUGGACAAUGGGCGCAAGCCUGAUCCAGCAAUGCCGCGUGCAGGAAGAAGGCCUUCGGGUUGUAAACUGCUUUUGUACGGAACGAAACGGUCCUGGUUAAUACCUGGGGCUAAUGACGGUACCGUAAGAAUAAGCACCGGCUAACUACGUGCCAGCCGCCGCGGUAAAAC
rnacentral:rRNA from 1 species